CUCUCUCUCUCUCUCUCUCUCUCUCUCUCUAACCCAAACAAACCAAACAAAAAUGGAGAAAUCAGAAGGAGAAGAGUAAACGCGUGAGUAGACUAAGCGUAUCGUGAGGAGGGUUCAACGAUCACAACAUGCAAAGAAGUUGGUGUAAUUCAACGAAUUAGAAGAAGAGCACGAUCGAAAGAACGUUGGGAUUGAUUGGAGUGACAAUGGUGGUGGACUCUAUCAAAUCUAUUCAGUUCCGGCAGGCAUUCUCUCAGAUUGCUUUUGCGGGGGCUAUUGUGGAUAUUUAUUUUUGUGUACGAAGAGCAUUUGUUCUGUAUAGGGAAGAUAUUUAUUUUUGUACAAUCCUCUGUUUUGGAAAUUCGGUGUUUUUGUAUGUAAUAUUUAAUUUAGAUGAA